rnacentral:rRNA from 1 species
UACGGAGGAUGCGAGCGUUAUCCGGAUUUAUUGGGUUUGAAGGGUGCGUAGGCGGGCUUUUAAGUCAGCGGUAAAAAUUCGGGGCUCAACCCCGUCCGGCCGUUGAAACGGGGGGUCUUGAGUGGGCGAGAAGAAGGCGGAAUGCGUGGUGUAGCGGUGAAAUGCAUAGAUAUCACGCAGAACCCCGAUUGCGAAGGCAGCCUUCCGGCGCCCUACUGACGCUGAGGCACGAAAGUGCGGGGAUCGAACAGG